AUUGAACGCUGGCGGCAGGCCUAACACAUGCAAGUCGAGCGGCAGCGGGAAGUAGCUUGCUACUUUGCCGGCGAGCGGCGGACGGGUGAGUAAUGUCUGGGAAACUGCCUGAUGGAGGGGGAUAACUACUGGAAACGGUAGCUAAUACCGCAUAAUGUCGCAAGACCAAAGAGGGGGACCUUCGGGCCUCUUGCCAUCAGAUGUGCCCAGAUGGGAUUAGCUAGUAGGUGGGGUAACGGCUCACCUAGGCGACGAUCCCUAGCUGGGCUGAGAGGAUGACCAGCCACACUGGAACUGAGACACGGUCCAGACUCCUACGGGAGGCAGCAGUGGGGAAUAUUGCACAAUGGGCGCAAGCCUGAUGCAGUCAUGCCGCGUGUAUGAAGAAGGCCUUCGGGUUGUAAAGUACUUUCAGCGGGGAGGAAGGUGUUGAGGUUAAUAACCUCAGCAAUUGACGUUACCCGCAGAAGAAGCACCGGCUAACUCCGCGCCAGCCGCCGCCGUAAAAC
rnacentral:rRNA from 1 species